rnacentral:lncRNA from 1 species
CAAUGUCAGAAUUGACAAACCAGUUCCUCUAAAGAGAUGCAACAGCCUAAAAGAGUUCUCCGUUUAGCCUUGAAUUUAAUAUUGACUAAUCUUAAUACUAAUACUAAUACUAAUACUAAUAAUAAUAAAAUCUGAUUGCAGAUGAGUUUUUAGUUGUUUAUAUAUCUGGAGUGUCUACCUGUUUCAAUGGUUGAAAGUCUAAAAAUAAUCUGUGAUUGUAUUGUAAACAGAGCAUGGAAUUUAUUAUUAUGUUUUGGAAGGAAAUAAUGUAUAGUAUUUCUAUUGUUGAAAGUUAACUUGGGUCAUGA